rnacentral:sRNA from 1 species
CUCGUGCAGAUUUGGCCAAUGAAAUGAGUAUAUGCGUGCGUUCACCAAAUCUUCUUAAAAAUUUCAGCCCUAAAUCUGGUUGUUUUCUGGAAUGAAAAUCGGAUAAAUAUUACAGUUAGGGAGUACUAUCCCGAGAUUUGGUGAAGGUAUUGUCCAAAUUAUUCAUUUCAAGCUUAAUCAUUCCGAUAUUAGAUUGUUUUUUGUUCAUAAAUUAAUAUCGUUUAAUAAAUGGAUAUUUUUAAGGAAACAAAUGUUACCCUUAUUUUUUAAAUUCAUUUCAUGUGUAUGACUUUCAUUGGGUGUUUACAGCAUACAAAUGUAUUUUAAGGAAUUUAUUUUUUCUUUGUGUUUCAUUAUUGUGCGUCGUUCCAUAAUCUGCGUGCUUACUUAUGUAACAUAAGAUGCUUUAAUUCAGUAUUUACAAUAUAUCUUAUUUUUGCCUAUUUAUACAACCAUUUUUAAACAUAAGCAUGAUAAAUAUUUUAAUUAUUUUUCAUUACUUGCAACUCUGUAUGAAUUUUUCAUACCUAUAAUUAGUUUGAUUACCCAGAAAACAAAUAUUAUUUUUGUUUAUUGUAACGAACUUGUGUUUCGGAGAAAUAAAUUCCAUUGAGGAUAUGAUACACUUCAUUGUAUGUAUGUCUCACUGUAAUGACAAAGCAUGUCUAAUGAUGUUUUAAUCGUCUGUUUCACUUGACUUUCAUUUCUCAUUUGAUGGUGAGAUCAAUUUUGUAAUAUAAGAAAAAUUAAAACCAACUCACAAGU